UACGUAGGGGGCGAGCGUUAUCCGGAUUUACUGGGCGUAAAGAGCGCGUAGGCGGUUCCGUAAGUUGGUUGUGAAAGUUCGAGGCUCAACCUCGAAACUGCGUCCAAUACUGCGGGGCUUGAGUGCAAGAGAGGCAAGUGGAAUUCCAGGUGUAGUAGUGAAACGCGUAGAUAUCUGGAGGAACACCAGUGGCGAAGGCGGCUUGCUAGCUUGUAACUGACGCUGAGGAGCGAAAGCGUGGGGAG
rnacentral:rRNA from 1 species